UGCGUAGGCGGCGACUUAAGUAGGAUGUGAAAUCUCCCGGCUCAACCGGGGAACUGCGUUCUAAACUGGGUUGCUUGAGUGAGAUAGAGGUGUGCGGAACUUCCGGUGGAGCGGUGAAAUGUGUUGAUAUCGGAGGGAACACCGUUGGCGGAAGCGGCACACUGGGUCUUAACUGACGCUGAGGCACGAAAGCCAGGGGAGCAAACG
rnacentral:rRNA from 1 species